AUUGAACGCUGGCGGCAUGCCUUACACAUGCAAGUCGAACGGCAGCACGGGUGCUCGCACCUGGUGGCGAGUGGCGAACGGGUGAGUAAUAUAUCGGAACGUACCUUAUUGUGGGGGAUAACGCAGCGAAAGCUGUGCUAAUACCGCAUAUCCCUAAGGGGGAAAGCGGGGGACCGUAAGGCCUCGCGCAAUUAGAGCGGCCGAUACCUGAUUAGCUAGUUGGUGAGGUAAAGGCUCACCAAGGCAACGAUCAGUAGCUGGUCUGAGAGGACGAUCAGCCACACUGGGACUGAGACACGGCCCAGACUCCUACGGGAGGCAGCAGUGGGGAAUUUUGGACAAUGGGGGCAACCCUGAUCCAGCAAUGCCGCGUGAGUGAAGAAGGCCUUCGGGUUGUAAAGCUCUUUUGUCAGGGAAGAAACAGCAGCUCUAACACAGUUUGCGAAUGACGGUACCUGAAGAAUAAGCACCGGCUAACUACGUGCCAGCCGCCGCGGUAA
rnacentral:rRNA from 1 species